GCGCUCGUAGUUCAAUGGAUAGAGCGUCAGCCUCCGAAGCUGGAAAUGUGGGUUCGACUCCCGCCGAGCGCACCA
rnacentral:tRNA from 2 species